GCGCGAAACCUUUACAAUGCACGAAAGUGUGAUAGGGGGAUACUCAGUGCUUACGCUUAUGGUGUAGGCUUUUGUCGAUCGUAAACAGAUCGGCGAAUAAGUGGUGGGUAAGACCGGUGCCAGCCGCCGCGGUAACCCCGGCGCCACAAGUGGUUAUCACGAUUAUUGGGCCUAAAGCGUUCGUAGCCGGUUUGGUGCAUCUCUUGUGAAAUUGUUCGGCUUAACCGGACAGCGUGCAGGAGACACGGCCAGACUCGAGACCGGGAGGCGUGUGAAGUAUGUCGUGGGGACUGGUAAAAUGGGAUAAUCCACGAUAGACUACCGAUGGCGAAGGCAUCACACGAGAACGGAUCUGACGGUGAGGAACGAAAGCUAGGGGAGCGAACCGG
rnacentral:rRNA from 1 species